UGGAUGUUGGUGCUUCAAAGUGGGUA
rnacentral:piRNA from 1 species